rnacentral:rRNA from 2 species
UGGGGAAUAUUGCACAAUGGGCGCAAGCCUGAUGCAGCCAUGCCGCGUGUAUGAAGAAGGCCUUCGGGUUGUAAAGUACUUUCAGCGGGGAGGAAGGGAGUAAAGUUAAUACCUUUGCUCAUUGACGUUACCCGCAGAAGAAGCACCGGCUAACUCCGUGCCAGCAGCCGCGGUAAUACGGAGGGUGCAAGCGUUAAUCGGAAUUACUGGGCGUAAAGCGCACGCAGGCGGUUUGUUAAGUCAGAUGUGAAAUCCCCGGGCUCAACCUGGGAACUGCAUCUGAUAUUGGCAAGCUUGAGUCUCGUAGAGGGGGGUAGAAUUCCAGGUGUAGCGGUGAAAUGCGUAGAGAUCUGGAGGAAUACCGGUGGCGAAGGCGGCCCCCUGGACGAAGACUGACGCUCAGGUGCGAAAGCGUGGGGAGCAAACAGG